GAUGAACGCUGGCGGCGUGCCUAACACAUGCAAGUCGAGCGAGAAGGUUGAAAAAUGAGUUUUCGAACAAGUGAUUCAAACGGAAAGCUGCGGACGGGUUAGUAACGCGUAGGCAACCUGCUCCGUGCAGAGGGACAGCCCCGGGAAACCGGGAUUAAGACCUCAUGACAUCGGGUUCUCACAUGGUAAUCCGGUCAAAGCUUGAUCGGGAUGGGAUGGGCCUGCGUCUGAUUGGCUGGUUGGUGGGGUAACGGCAUACAAAGGCGACGAUGAGUAGCAGAUCUGGGAGGUUCAUCUGCCACAUUGGAGCUGAGACACGGUCCAAACUCCUACGGGAGGCAGCAGUGAGGAAUAUUGCACAAUGGGCGAAAGCCUGAUGCAGCAACGCCGCGUGAGCGAAGAAGGCCUUUGGAUCGUAAAGCUCUGUCCUUGGGGAAUAAACAAAUGACGGUACCCUUGGAGGAAGCCCCGGCUAACUACGUGCCAGCAGCCGCGGUAA
rnacentral:rRNA from 1 species